rnacentral:rRNA from 1 species
UACGGGGGGGGCAAGCGUUGUUCGGAAUUACUGGGCGUAAAGGGCUCGUAGGCGGCCAACUAAGUCAGACGUGAAAUCCCUCGGCUUAACCAGGGAACUGCGUCUGAUACUGGAUGGCUUGAGAUUGGGAGAGGGAUGCGGAAUUCCAGGUGUAGCGGUGAAAUGCGUAGAUAUCUGGAGGAACACCGGUGGCGAAGGCGGCAUCCUGGACCAACACUGACGCUGAUGAGCGAAAGCCAGGGGAGCAAACGGG